UUCCCGAGAGCAGGGACUGUGGGAAGUAAUUAUUAUAGAGCCAGACAAUAGAAUCCUAUGCAGCCAUAAAAAGGAAAAGCUGUUUAAGUAUUUGACUAUCACCCAACCUCCUAGUUAUACUGUUAAGUGAAAAGUGUAAGGUAUAGAAGUCCAUGUAAGAAUCUAUCAUUUGUGUU